CAAAUGGUUUGUAACCUUUAUUUCCAAUUCCCUUGUAUUGCACAGCUAUGGUCACAAAAUUGUAAUUGCUGGGGGUGGUGUGCUAUGGAGCAGGAGUGUGAUGCAUGCAGGGACCUCAGAGAGCUGCAUGCAUCUGGGGAGUGACUACCCUGGAGCCAGGUCAUGGGACAUUUGGAUUAUAGUAUCCCUGGGAGCUGGGCAGUAGCACAGUGGGUUAAGUGCACAUGGUGCAAAGCACAAGGACCGGCGUAAGGAUUAUAGCAGCCCUGUAGGAUAAUAUAAGCCACCCGGUUCCAGAUGCUAUCAUGAUGCCAACCUGACUUUGCUGGGCAGACAACCUCACCAUGUGUCCUGGAGCCCCACCUCCCCAGAUCUCUUCCCCUCUAUGGAAAGCGAGACAGAGAGGCUGGGAGUAUGGAUUGACCUGUCAAUGCCCAUGUUCAGUGGGGAAACAAUUACAGAAGCCAGACCUCCC